UCCUACGGGAGGCAGCAGUGAGGAAUAUUGCUCAAUGGGCGAAAGCCUGAAGCAGCGACGCCGCGUGAGGGAUGAAAUCCGUUAGGAUGUAAACCUCUUUUGCAGGGGAAGAAUCUCCCGCUCUGCGGGAUUGACGGUACUCUGCGAAUAAGCACCGGCAAACUACGUGCCAGCAGCCGCGGUAAUACGUAGGGUGCGAGCGUUGUCCGGAAUUACUGGGUGUAAAGGGUCCGCAGGCGGGCAAACAAGUCGGUAGUGAAAUCUCUCCGCUCAACGGAGAGACUGCUUCCGAUACUGUUUGUCUUGAGUUCGAGAGAGGAUGAUGGAAUUCAUGGUGUAGCGGUGAAAUGCGUAGAGAUCAUGAAGAACACCGGUAGCGAAGGCGGUCAUCUGGCUCGAUACUGACGCUCAGGGACGAAAGCGUGGGGAGCAAACAGGAUUAGAUACCCGCGUAGUCCC
rnacentral:rRNA from 1 species